UCAACCGAUUUGGGCACGGAAGUCGCUCAAGC
rnacentral:ribozyme from 1 species